GCCAUGCCUGAGUUGGAGCCCUCAUUGUUGUGCUAGAAGAUGUAUUAUGCCAUGCUAGGAGCCGCUGAACCGUUCUUUGAAAGCGUAUCUUUUUCAGGCCUCUAAAAAAUGUUGGAUCAGCAGAAAUGAGCAAUGCUGGGGCAGAGAAGGGCAGAGCUGAGGAAGGAUGAUGGGACAGGAACACUGAAAGUGAAGUUUCCCCAAUAAGCUGACUUUGACAGUGCAGUUCUUUGAAACAGUGUCUGCUCUGCUCCGGCUGACUGCUCCUGCCUUUGUGCUGAAGUUCACAACCUCCUCAGCAACAAAGAAGCCAUUGCAAUGUAAAAAUGUCAGUCCUCGAGGUGAAUUUGUAGUUGUAGUUAUCUGAUUACAUAUAAAGAAGUGCUGA